GGCAUCCUGUGAGCAGCAAACACAUCUGAGCCUGGAAAAGACGCAGAGAAGUAAAAGAUCAAAGUCUGAUUGGCACCGGCUCCCAUUCCGGCUCCAGCCUCCAAUCCGACCCCCAUUUCGGCUGCAGCCUCGGACCUAGCUCCGGCCCUCGGUCUAUCCGGUUGCAUCCUCCCUCCCUGUUCCGGAUCUUAUCUUGCGCCAGCGCCUACUCCAGGAUCCCGUAGCCAGACCUCAAGCCAUGGCUGGUCCCUUCUCCCGUCUGCUGUCCGCCCGCCCGGGACUCAGGCUCCUGGCUUUGGCCGGAGCGGGGUCUCUAGCCGCUGGGUUUCUGCUCCGACCGGAACCUGUACGAGCUGCCAGUGAACGACGGAGGCUGUAUCCCCCGAGGCUUUUCCCCUCCUCCAUCCGUAGUGUUGUGUCAUGGGAGGAAAGAACUGAGCAGAUCUGAAGAAACUGAGCUGGCCAGCCAGAGGCAACUAGAACUAUUAGGAAAGCAUAGACUCUGAAAGUCCCUAAAGAGAUUACCAAGGUUUACCCUCUUUCUAAUUCCCCCUCCUCCCGCGGAGCAAAGCCAGACAUGGCCAACUGGACAGCUCCCAGGUAACUGCACUAGGUCUAGGCGUCUGUGCCCUCCCUCCAUGGUUACUGGGUACCCCCUCCCCAGCGCUGAGUACCCAGACCUCCGAAAGCACAACAACUGCAUGGCCAGUCACCUGACCCCAGCAGUCUAUGCACGGCUCUGCGACAAGACCACACCCACUGGUUGGACGCUAGAUCAGUGUAUCCAGACUGGCGUGGAC
rnacentral:lncRNA from 1 species